rnacentral:piRNA from 1 species
UGACUGAAUCCUGUGAAGGUGCCAUAAGU